rnacentral:rRNA from 1 species
UACGUAGGGGGCAAGCGUUGUCCGGAAUCAUUGGGCGUAAAGCGCGCGUAGGCGGCCCGGUAAGUCCGCUGUAAAAGUCCAGGGCUCAACCCUGGAAAGCCGGUGGAUACUGUCGGGCUAGAGUCCGGAAGAGGCGAGUGGAAUCCUGGUGUAGCGGUGGAAUGCGCAGAUAUCAGGAGGAACACCGAUGGCGAAGGCAGCGUCGCUGGGACGGUGACUGACGCUGAGGCGCGAAAGCGUGGGGAGCGAACAGG